rfam:Ornithorhynchus anatinus chromosome 1, whole genome shotgun sequence.
CCCCUCUCAGGAUUGGACCUGGAGAGUUUCCAGUACUCUACCAGUCUUGGCUGUGGGAGGGAGAAUCAAGCAGAGGCAUAACUAUUCCAUUGCUAGCUUGGGCAGUUGCUAGAGAGUGGAAGGGAAUCUGCUACAAGU